GUGCUUGCUUCAGCAUCACAUAUACUAAAAUUGGAAUAAUACAGAGAAGAUUAGCAUGACCUCUGCACAAGGAUGACACACUCAAAUUUGUGACAUGUUCCACAUUUUU